UAAAACAAUUACAUAUACAUGACAAUCUUUUAUAUGGUAAAAGAUGAAUCAUAUGAUUUCUGAUAAAAUUAACAAAAUAUAAAUAAUGAAAGCCAAUAUUAUUUCAAGCUGAACAAAAAUUAAAAUUGUUAGAUGGAAACUAAAAAUCAAAAUAUCUUAUAUUGAUUAUUGUAUAUGUAAAGUAACAAACGAAGACCAUGGAUUUUUGGACGAAAAAAUCAUACUCAUUACUCAUUAGACCCACAAACCACAUACUUCGAAGCCCAACAUAACGAAAUCCCAAUUUAACCAACCAAUAUGUAUACGCAUAACCAAUAACAUUCAACCAAGAAACCCACAGAAACCUCACCAAAACUAUAUAUAGUAGUAUUCUAUAUGGUCCGAACUCUUAAAACAAUACACAACCACCCCUGCAUAACGUACAUAAUCUAAAAACUAAUAAACCAUCUACGGCCUAACAUACACACCUAAAAACAUCAAAGUAAUUAUAAUCCUACUUUCAAAUCUU
rnacentral:lncRNA from 1 species